rnacentral:lncRNA from 1 species
AGUUAAGAAACCCGCAUGAUGCGGCGGGUAGACUAUUAUUAUAAUUAAUCACUACGGCGUGUAGAUUAAUGCGGAUUUUAGUAUUAUAAUUUAUAUUAGAAAAAUAAUCAAUAAUAUAUAAUUAUCGAAGAACACAAAUUCACUUAUCAUAUGUAGCUACCAUAAAUUAUGUGCAUUAAUAUUUUUAAGUAUUACCGACCGUCCCUAGAGCAAGUGGCAAAGGGCUUGGUGGUUGGUACCCGANUUUCAGUUUAAAAAUUUAAAUUCAAUUAUAGAGUAAUAUUAUUAUUUUCUAUUUAUAACUACCAACUAUUCCACCUUAUACUCACAUUUUUAUCUAAACAUAAUUUUUCUAGUUCUAUCUUAUACUCACAUUUUCAUCCAAAAAAGAAAAAACCCUUGUUUCUACGAAAAUUCAUACUUGUACAUAUCCCCAGUAUAAUUAGUUCUUGCUUAUACCUGAACCAAACGAAGCCGAAUCGUGUUUCGAACUCUUGAAUUCAAGACUUUUAUUCCAUCCAUCAUAAAAUAUGCCAAUACUAAC